UUUUUGGAGAGUUUGAUCCUGGCUCAGGAUGAACGCUGGCGGCGUGCUUAACACAUGCAAGUCGAACGGUGAAGCCCAGCUUGCUGGGUGGAUCAGUGGCGAACGGGUGAGUAACACGUGAGCAAUCUGCCCCUGACUCUGGGAUAAGCGCUGGAAACGGCGUCUAAUACUGGAUACGAACCGUGGAGGCAUCUUCAACGGUUGGAAAGAUUUUUUGGUCAGGGAUGAGCUCGCGGCCUAUCAGCUUGUUGGUGAGGUAAUGGCUCACCAAGGCGUCGACGGGUAGCCGGCCUGAGAGGGUGACCGGCCACACUGGGACUGAGACACGGCCCAGACUCCUACGGGAGGCAGCAGUGGGGAAUAUUGCACAAUGGGCGCAAGCCUGAUGCAGCAACGCCGCGUGAGGGAUGACGGCCUUCGGGUUGUAAACCUCUUUUAGCAGGGAAGAAGCGAAAGUGACGGUACCUGCAGAAAAAGCGCCGGCUAACUACGUGCCAGCAGCCGCGGUAAUACGUAGGGCGCAAGCGUUAUCCGGAAUUAUUGGGCGUAAAGAGCUCGUAGGCGGUUUGUCGCGUCUGCUGUGAAAUCCCGAGGCUCAACUUCGGGUCUGCAGUGGGUACGGGCAGACUAGAGUGCGGUAGGGGAGAUUGGAAUUCCUGGUGUAGCGGUGGAAUGCGCAGAUAUCAGGAGGAACACCGAUGGCGAAGGCAGAUCUCUGGGCCGUAACUGACGCUGAGGAGCGAAAGGGUGGGGAGCAAACAGGCUUAGAUACCCUGGUAGUCCACCCCGUAAACGUUGGGAACUAGUUGUGGGGUCCAUUCCACGGAUUCCGUGACGCAGCUAACGCAUUAAGUUCCCCGCCUGGGGAGUACGGCCGCAAGGCUAAAACUCAAAGGAAUUGACGGGGACCCGCACAAGCGGCGGAGCAUGCGGAUUAAUUCGAUGCAACGCGAAGAACCUUACCAAGGCUUGACAUAUACGAGAACGCUGCAGAAAUGUAGAACUCUUUGGACACUCGUAAACAGGUGGUGCAUGGUUGUCGUCAGCUCGUGUCGUGAGAUGUUGGGUUAAGUCCCGCAACGAGCGCAACCCUCGUUCUAUGUUGCCAGCACGUAAUGGUGGGAACUCAUGGGAUACUGCCGGGGUCAACUCGGAGGAAGGUGGGGAUGACGUCAAAUCAUCAUGCCCCUUAUGUCUUGGGCUUCACGCAUGCUACAAUGGCCGGUACAAAGGGCUGCAAUACCGUGAGGUGGAGCGAAUCCCAAAAAGCCGGUCCCAGUUCGGAUUGAGGUCUGCAACUCGACCUCAUGAAGUCGGAGUCGCUAGUAAUCGCAGAUCAGCAACGCUGCGGUGAAUACGUUCCCGGGUCUUGUACACACCGCCCGUCAAGUCAUGAAAGUCGGUAACACCUGAAGCCGGUGGCCCAACCCUUGUGGAGGGAGCCGUCGAAGGUGGGAUCGGUAAUUAGGACUAAGUCGUAACAAGGUAGCCGUACCGGAAGGUGCGGCUGGAUCACCUCCUUU
rnacentral:rRNA from 1 species